rnacentral:tRNA from 1 species
GGAAGGGAAGCUCGGAGGCAGAGCGCGUGAGAAUCCGGAGCAGCAUCCAUUAUGAUAGAGAGAGGAGAUGAGCUUUAUGCUGCUUGAGGUCCACACGAGGACGCAGGUUCGAAUCCUGCCCCUUCCA